AUCCAGCUGACGAGUCGCGAAUUGGAUGAAACGCGUGUCUUGGAU
rnacentral:hammerhead_ribozyme from 1 species